AGAAAGGAAGACAAAUUUCAUUUACUUACACUUUUAACUGGGACGUUCUCUGGCUGUAGUUGAAUAUAAAACACUCUGAUUUAUUUUAGACAUUUAACUGCUCCAACUUUCACAUUAGAUAAAUGGUAACAUGACCUUCAAUUCUCUCUUACUUUAGGGUUUUUGAAAGCUUCAACAUCAGUGAAUAUUAUUUAAUUGUUGACCCAACUGGUCUUUGACUAUAAAAUAUACUAAAAUAUUUUCCAACAUUGACUUGUGGGAAAUGGAUAUUUCAUACUACAAGUACUAAUUUGCUUAGUACUUACUGAACACUUACUAUGUGCAGAGGCCUUGGACAAUUAAGUUGAAACUUGGAAUUGAGAAUGAUUGUAGGUCAUAUACACUAUUAUCUUUUCCUAUUUAUCCUUGUUUCUUUUUAGUUUUGAAAUGGAAUUAGACUUUAAAAAAAAAUCUUAUGACCUUCCUCAGGAAGUCUCCUGGUCAUUUGAGAGACCUAGACUUCAUGACCCAUACCUGGGACUAAAAUAUGCACUUGCCUAAGGUGCCAGAAAUACCGUCAUGCAGUGUUUGUUGGCUUUUAAAAAAUAAACACUGUCAUGUCCGAACAAGUGGAAAAUAUAGCUACCCCUGCUGUACUUCCAGUUCCCUUCUCUGUUUGCUGUCCAGAAGCUCUGCCUGAGGUUGAAACACUGAAUGGUUCUCAGAUACGUCUAAAUGCAUUCCUUGCUGUGAAGCAGGAUGGAAACUGGAUGCUUCUCAUGGUCUGAAUUUCCUUGUGAUAUUAUUAACUUUUUCAACUUUUUCUCCCAAAGGCCAUGAUAGAAAGUAAACAAAGAAAUAAAG
rnacentral:lncRNA from 1 species